UUAGAGUUUGAUCCUGGCUCAGGAUGAACGCUAGCUACGGGCUUAGCACAUGCAAGUCGAACGGAUUCUGGAUUCGUCUGGAAUUAGUGGCAAACGGGUGAGUAACACGUAUCCAACCACCCUGCGACUCGGGGAUAGCCUCUUGAAAGGGAGAUUAAUAUCCGAUGUACUGUUUUUGGUGCAUGCCAUUUUCAGUAAAGUUUUUUACGGUCGCUGACGGGGAUGCGUUCCAUUAGAUAGUCGGUGUGGUAACGGCUCACCGAGUCUAUGAUGGAUAGGGGUUCUGAGAGGAAGGUCCCCCACAUUGGAACUGCGACACGGUCCAAACUCCUACGGGAGGCAGCAGUGAGGAAUAUUGGUCAAUGGGCGCAAGCCUGAACCAGCUAUGUAGCGUGAAGGAUGACUGCCCUAUGGGUUGUAAACUUCUUUUGUUCGGGAAUAACAGACUUCACUUGUGGAGUUUUGCAUGUACCGUUCGAAUAAGGAUCGGCUAACUCCGUGCCAGCAGCCGCGGUAAUACGGAGGAUCCUAGCGUUAUUCGGAUUUAUUGGGUUUAAAGGGAGCGUAGGCGGGGGGUCAAGUCAGCUGUGAAAUACGUACGCUUAACGUUCGUCUUGCAGUUGAAACUGGUUUUCUUGAGUGCGUAUGAGGCAGGCGGAAUUCGUGGUGUAGCGGUGAAAUGCUUAGAUAUCACGAGGAACUCCUAUUGCGAAGGCAGCUUGCUGGUCCGCUACUGACGCUGAUGCUCGAAGGUGCGGGUAUCGAACAGGAUUAGAUACCCUGGUAGUCCGCACAGUAAACUAUGGACACUCGCUGUCGGCGAUAUACUGUCGGUGGCUAAGCGAAAGCAUUAAGUGUCCCACCUGGGGAGUACGUCGGCAACGAUGAAACUCAAAGGAAUUGACGGGGGCCCGCACAAGCGGCGGAGCAUGCGGAUUAAUUCGAUGCAACGCGAAGAACCUUACCAAGGCUUGACAUACACCGGAAUCAUGCAGAGAUGUGUGAGUCUUCGGACUGGUGUACAGGUGGUGCAUGGUUGUCGUCAGCUCGUGUCGUGAGAUGUUGGGUUAAGUCCCGCAACGAGCGCAACCCUUGUCUCGUGUUGCCAGCAUUUAGUUGGGGACUCACGAGAGACUGCCGGGGUUAACUCGGAGGAAGGUGGGGAUGACGUCAAAUCAUCAUGCCCCUUAUGUCUUGGGCUUCACGCAUGCUACAAUGGCAAGUACAGAGUGUUGCGAGCCUGUGAGGGUGAGCGAAUCACUUAAAGCUUGUCUCAGUUCGGAUUGGGGUCUGCAACUCGACCCCAUGAAGUCGGAGUCGCUAGUAAUCGCAGAUCAGCAACGCUGCGGUGAAUACGUUCUCGGGCCUUGUACACACCGCCCGUCAAG
rnacentral:rRNA from 1 species